UGUAAAUCCCUUUCUCUUUGAUAUCUGUAUUGAACACGUGUGCAAAGGUUUCCUCGGGUCGAAUGGAGAUUGGCCAUCGAGUGUAAAGGCAGAAGGGAGCUUAACUGCAAGACUCACCCGUCGAGUAGGGACAAAUGUCCAUCUUAGUGAUCUGACGGUGCUAAAUAGAAGGGUUGUCGCUUAAUAGAUAAAAGUUACUCUAGGGUUAACAUGCUUAUCUUACCCAAGAGCUCACAUCAACAGGAAGGUUUUGCACCUUGAUGUUGACUCUUCGCCAUCUGGGGUUGUAGUAUGUUUCAAGGGUUGGGUUGUUCGCCCAUUAAAACGGUACGUGAGCUGGGCUUGGAAUGUCAUGAAACAGUUUAGUCCAUA
rnacentral:ncRNA from 1 species